UGAGUACGAGCUGCUACGGCAGCGAAGUGGGUGAUGUCAUGCUUCCAAGAAAAGCCCUAUACCCGUUAAGGCAUGAUGGCCUGUACCCGAAACCGACACAGGUGGGGUGGUAGAGAAUACCGAGGGGCGCGAGGUAACUCUCUCUAAGGAACUCGGCAAAAUGGCCCCGUAACUUCGGGAGAAGGGGUGCCACCGCAAGGUGGUCGCAGUGAAGAGGCCCAGGCGACUGUUUACCAAAAACACAGGUCUCCGCUAAGUCGCAAGACGAUGUAUGGGGGCUGACGCCUGCCCAGUGCCGGAAGGUUAAGGAAGCUGGUCAGCGUAAGCGAAGCUAGCGACUGAAGCCCCGGUGAACGGCGGCCGUAACUAUAACGGUCCUAAGGUAGCGAAAUUCCUUGUCGGGUAAGUUCCGACCCGCACGAAAGGCGUAACGAUCUGGGCGCUGUCUCGGAGAGAGGCUCGGCGAAAUAGAAUUGUCUGUGAAGAUGCGGACUACGUGCACCCGGACAGAAAGACCCUAUGAAGCUUUACUGUAGCUUGGUAUUGUGCUCGGGCUCGGAAUGCGCAGGAUAGGUGGGAGGCUAUGAACCAUUGCUUGCGGGUGAUGGUGAGCCACUGGUGAGAUACCACUCUUUCCGAGCUAGAGUUCUAACAGCCACCCGUUAUCCGGGGGCUGGACAGUAUCAGGUGGGCAGUUUGACUGGGGCGGUCGCCUCCUAAAAGGUAACGGAGGCGCGCAAAGGUUUGCUCAGGCUGGUUGGAAAUCAGCCGACGAGUGUAAAAGCAGAAGCAAGCUUGACUGUGAGACCUACAAGUCGAACAGGGAGGAAACUCGGCUUUAGUGAUCCGACGGUUCUGCGUGGAAGGGCCGUCGCUCAACGGAUAAAAGUUACUCUAGGAUAACAGGCUGAUCUCCCCCAAGAGUUCACAUCGACGGGGAGGUUUGGCACCUCGAUGUCGGCUCAUCGCAACCUGGGGCUGAAGUCGGUCCCAAGGGUUGGGCUGUUCGCCCAUUAAAGCGGUACGCGAGCUGGGUUCAGAACGUCGUGAGACAGUUCGGUCCAUAUCCGGUGCAUGCGCAGGAAUAUUGAGAGGAUUUCUCCCUAGUACGAGAGGACCGGGAGGAACGCACCUCUGGUGUACCAGUUAUCGUGCCAACGGUAAACGCUGGGUAGCCAUGUGCGGAGAGGAUAACCGCUGAAAGCAUCUAAGUGGGAAGCCCACCUCAAGAUGAGUAUUCCCAUGGGGUAACCCAGUAAGGUCACGGGAAGAACACCCGUUGAUAGGCUCUACGUGGAAGCGCAGUAAUGUGUGAAGCGGAGGAGUACUAAUAGACCGAGGGCUUGACC
rnacentral:rRNA from 1 species